rnacentral:rRNA from 1 species
UACGUAGGGGGCAAGCGUUGUCCGGAUUUAUUGGGCGUAAAAGGCUUGUAGGUGGCCACGCCAAGUCGGAUGUGAAAUCUCCCGGCUCAACUGGGAGGGGUCAUUCGAUACUGGCGGGCUCGAGGCCGGUAGGGGGAAGUGGAAUUCCCGGUGUAGUGGUGGAAUGCGUAGAUAUCGGGAGGAACACCAGUGGCGAAGGCGGCUUCCUGGACCGGUUCUGACACUGAGGAGCGAAAGCGUGGGGAGCGAACCGG